AGAGUUUGAUCCUGGCUCAGGAUGAACGCUGGCGGCGUGCCUAACACAUGCAAGUCGAACGAAGCUUGACUGAUGAUUUUCUUCGGAAUGAAACCAGAUAUGACUUAGUGGCGGACGGGUGAGUAACACGUGAGCAACCUGCCUUUCAGGAGGGGGAUAACGGCUGGAAACGGUCGCUAAUACCGCAUGAUGUGUUCGGAUGGCAUCAUCUGAACAUCAAAGAUUUAUCGCUGAAAG
rnacentral:rRNA from 1 species